AGGAUGAACGCUGGCGGAAUGCCUAAUACAUGCAAGUCGAGCGGCAGCGCGAGUAGUUUACUACUUGGCGGCGAGCGGCGGACGGCUGAGUAACGCGUGGGAACGUACCCCAAAGUGAGGAAUAACUGCCCGAAAGGGUAGCUAAUGCCGCAUAUGAUCUUCGGAUUAAAGGAUUUAUCCGCUUUGGGAGCGGCCCGCGUACGAUUAGAUAGUUGGUGAGGUAAAGGCUCACCAAGUCGACGAUCGUUAACUGAUCUGAGAGGAUGAUCAGUCAGACUGGAACUGAGACACGGUCCAGACUCCUACGGGAGCAGCAGUAAGGAAUCUUCACAAUGGACGAAAGUCUAGAUGGAGCAAUUCCGCGUGCAGGAUGAAGGCCCUCGGGUUGUAAACUGUCUUUUAUUUGUAGAAGUAAUAUAGACGGUAAACAAAUAGAAGUAAGGUCGACUAAC
rnacentral:rRNA from 1 species